UUUUCAAUCGAAUACCCCUCACAUCCCUUGUCCCAAACGUGAAUAUGUGAAAAACCCUCUCUGGUUUGGAAUAUUUAAACCCUACCCUCUGGUCGCAGCAAGCUCUCCUCCCGCACAAAAAUGGCGAAUCAACAACAAAUAUCGACUCGGCCAUGGAUCCUCGAAGCUGUACCUUUAAUGGUAGUCGUUCUAAUAGCCGCUCACGUCUUGGCUCUGGUUUAUUGGAUUUACAGGUUAGCUACUGAGAAGCAGCCUCAGAGAAGAAAGGAGCACUAGAACCAGUUCAAUUUACAGUAACAGAAGCAGGGAAUCUUCAAUUCAACAGUAGUUUUGAUGGUAUACAAGGUUCUUAUACAAGGUGGUGGUUCUAUCUCUGCUUUUUUCAUGGGCGGACACUUCUAUGUCCAGUGAUGAAAUGUGCUUCGUGGCUGGGGAUUUCUUGUACAACUUGAUUAGAUGAGAUUUCUCUCUCUCUCUCUCUCUCUCUCUCUAUCUCUCUCUGUUUGCCCUCCCCAUUCUAGAACUGAUGUUCUUGAAAUGACAUGAUGAAUUUGUAGUUCUCUCAAAUUCUUCUUUUCUUUAGUUGGUGAAUAUUGUUUGAAUAUUUGAAAGGAUGUUAUUGGCGCUUGUGAUUAGGAGUUUUUUUUGUUUUUUUGGUGGCAUUUUUCCUAAUCAAGAAAACCCGUCAUUGUCUU